UGGUGGGGCCUCAGUAACUGCUGAGAAGUCUCCUCCCAGCAGCCCCUUCAAAAAGGAGAAACACCCCUCAGAAAGGACUGGCGCUCACAUCUUGAAUCCUAAAAACUGUCAGGGAGUAACUAGGUAAGAGACCAGAAGCUCCAAUGGUGCCACCUGAGCGCCUACUCUGAGCUCCUGUUUCAAAUUGCUGACGCCCUCUGUCAAAGAAGAAUCCACGAGUCAUCUGGGAGCCUGGGUUUAAUGGACAAAGGUGAAGGGCUGGGGAAAAUCACACCAUGACUAUAGAACAGAACAGAGAGGAGGUUCAAGUGAUACUUAAUCAGGAUGUCUGGAAAACCAGGAGGAUGGGAAAACCAAAUUAACAGAAUUUAGCAUCUAUAAUACUCUUAUAUCAGGCAGAGAGAGGUGAGUAGCUUUUCCAGAAUUCAGUCAAUCUCUUUGUUCUGCUUUUCUUUAAGAUUUUAUUUUUAAAUAAUCUCUGUACCCAAUGUGGGGCUCAAACUUACAACCCUGAGAUCAAGAGUCGCAUGUGCUACCAACUGAGUCAGGCCGGUGAGCUGCCCCUCUUUGUUCUGUUUUUAAUUCCCUCUUGGAAUAGAGUCCUUCUCCCACAUCCUUUAUCUAGCUCACUCCUACUCAUUUCUCAAAACUCACCUCAAACAUCACCUCCUCUGAAAAGCCUUCCUUGAUCCACCCACCAGCUGACCUAGAUGCCCCUCCUAUGUGUAGUUCUAUUCUAGCUCUUGUCACAUCAUAUCAUAACCCACUCGUCAGCUUGUCAGUCCCCCGCCUCCAGACUGAUAGUCUUAGAGCAGGACUCGCAGGGCUGCCUGGGGGCUCAGUGGGCUAAGCGUCUGACUCUUGACUUCGGCUCAGGUCAUGAUCUUGUAGUUUGUGAGUUUGAGACCACAUUGGGCUCUACACUGACAGUGCAGAGCCUGCUUUGGAUUUUCUGUUUUCCUCUCUCUCUCUGCCCCUUCCUUGCUCAUGCUCUCUCUAUGUGUCAAAAAUAAAUAAACAUUAAGAAAAAAAAAAUAGAGCAGGACUCCCUUUGGAGCACAUGUCCAUUCCCAGGGUCCAGCACCUUCGUGAGUUCUCUGUUUGUUCAGCUAGCUUAAACCAAUUUGGCAAACUUUUCCUUGGCACCACAAUGUCAGGUGCCGUGGGGGUGAUGGAAGAAUUAUAACACAUGACCCCUGAUAUCAGAGUGAUUAAAAUCUAGCUGAGGCAUAAUGACACGCUAAAAUGGAGAUAGUUGUGCCUGAGAGCAAUUACACUUCAGGCGUGUAUCAUGUAAUUGAGAAUAUAAAUGCGAUAGAAGCCCUGGGUGAGGGCGUACAUGGAAGUCAUGGAGGAUGUGGAAUUUGAUCUGGACUGUGAGGGUGGGUAGGAUUUGGGCGGGGAGUCAGAAGAAACCAGGGCAGCAAGGUAGGGGCAGCAAUGGGCAAAGGUGUGGGACUGGGAAAGAGCAUGUGGUCCUUAUGUGACAGCAGGGAGGUUCGAGUGACCGGAGCAGAGAGCUUUUGCAAGGAGGAGGAGGAAAUCCGUGUUGGACAGCAUCUGGCUUCGGCAAGGAAUUUCUGGAUUACUUAGGAAUGUGCGUGCUGCCUCCCCAGAUCUUGUGGACUGAUUAUGGCACUCUGCCAUAUACUCUAAAGACAGGUUCACAUGUCUCUAUCACUAAAUUGUGAGCUCCUAGUCCAGAGUGUGGGUUGCAGAAUAAUGUCCUCCACACACACACACACACACACACACACACACACACACACAAAGAUGCCUGUAUCCGAAUCUCCAGAGCCUGUAACUAUUCUGCAUUAUGUGGCAAAGGGGAAUUAAGGCUGCUAGUCAGCUGACCUAAAACCAGAUUAUCCUGGAUUAUCUGGGUGGUCCAACAUAAUCACAUGGGUCCUUACAAAUGGAACAGAGAGGCAGAAGGAAGUCGGAGGGAGCUGUGACCGCUGAGGAAGGUCAGAGUGACACAAUGUGAGGAGGAUUCAGCUCACAGUUGCUGGCUGUGGAGUGAAGGAGGGAGUGAAGGAGGGAGCCAACAAGCCUAGGAUCACAGGCAGGCUCUAAGCGCUGGAAAGGGCAAGGACACAGAUUCUCCCUUAAAGCCUCCGGAGAGGGAAAGAGCCGUGCAGGCAUCUUGAUUUUACCCCAGGGAGACCCGUUUCAGACUUCUGAUGUACAGGACUGUAAGAUAAUAAAUAUGUAUUGUUUAAGCCACUAAGUUAGAUGUACUUUGUUACAGUAGCAAUAGGAAAACGGACACAGGACGGACCAUGUCUCGGUCGAAUUUGCAUCCACACAUAACUCAGCUGCCUCUAUUCCGGUGCUCAGUAAAUGCUUACUUAAUGCAACUGCAUAAAGAACCACUGACUCAACAUCCCUCCCCGAGAACAUAAAGCAAACUCUAGCAACAUCCAUGGCGUAGAGCCACGUGCUUCGGGUCAGUUUGCUCUCGGCACAGAUUUUGUUUUUGCUAUUAUAAAAUAACAUCAGAGCAAGCAUCAUCCUUCUGUUUUUGAAGCAAUUUGCUUAUCCUAAGCAGAUUUCCUGGGUCAAAGAUGAUGGACAAUUUUUACGGCUCUUGACCCAUUUAACCCAACUUAACUUUCCAGAGAGUUAGAGCUAAUCGGCGCCCUUGCUUGUAAUCAAGCACCACCGUGUACCCACCACUGGGCCCAGCAGGGCCCUCAGGCACGGCCUCCUCCCUGCACAUUAAAGUUUUUUCUGCUUUGAUAUCAGCUGUACAAGCUUUGGUCCCGGGACUCACUGGGGGCCUCCCACCCUGAGCAGACACCCUGGACAUUUUGCUGUGGUGGCCUUCCUGGUGGCAAGAGCGACUUCUCCACAGCCGUGAGGAACAUUCCUUAGGGAUAAUGCUGGUCUGGGAGGGAGCAACCUGACAGAUCCCUAGUUUAUUUUUAGUCAGCAAUUACAAUGAGACUUUUUUUUUUUUAAGAGUUGCAAGAACUGAUCUGCCUAUGUUCAGGAAGCUGGUAAUUUUCCAGUGUCCCCAAAGACGGGGCCUGAGAAUUGGAGCUGACUGGCCCCAGAGGGAAAAGCUGGUUGCUUUAAAGGUGGAAUACUACACGGAAGCGAAAAAUGAAUUAACUAGAGCUACACGUGUCAGCACAGCCAUCAUAAGUUCCUAUGCGACUGUGAGCUGCAGGUGACCGUCAAUUCAGCUCUGAAUUGACUCACAGCCAGAACUAGAAGGGACCCUAAGGUGCCAGAUUGGCAGAGACCACGACAAUAAACUACCCCCGUAGUUAAGAAGCAACACGGGUUUCCUUUGAAUCAAGAUGUAACAGGAAUUUCAUCCAUGCGUCACCACAGUGGAAAAGAUGGUUAGUAACAACAUUCGUACAGAAAUAAAAGGGGGGGAAGGGGCAUCAGCCAUUUUCUAGCAUCCCCCAACGCAUGCCAAUGGCUUCACGUGAGGGCGGGACUCAGAAGGAGCUGCUGUAUGAGGGCCCCUCUCUAUUGCCAGCGUCUGGGACAUUUCCAGAGCAACAGGCCUGGGUGAAGCAGCAGGGAAGCAGGCAGACUCUAGAAGGCAUCCCCCUGGAGGGGAAGGAAAUAAUCUCGACUCUGGGCAGUUCUCUCCCUCAAACGUCUGCUCCUCUUGCUGGGACACGUUGCUGUGGACACGGCAUCCAGGCGGCCAGCGUCUCUGCAGGCUGAGAAGGUCCCGGCCCCGGGACCAGAAGGCAUCCACCCUUUGCCUAGUGUUGCUGGCGAUCACUCUGACUUCUCACACCUUGGGUCCAUCCAGCUGUGUUUAAACCUUUGGUUUUUACCCUCAUCGUACAAAGUAGGGAGUCAAGAGGUAGUAGAUGGAACAAGAAAUAGAGGCGUAAGUACUUUACGUGAUUAUAAUAUUGUGAUUUGUAAAAAGACGUGCAUACUGGUCUCUGCCCCCAGCUCCUAACACAGAGCUCCUGAAACCCUUGUAAUUUCCUGCGUGGACAGGAGUGUCUUUUGUUCUAAUGAGGUGACUCUGCGUGGCUCCUGGAUGAGGGCUGGUCGCUGGAAAGCCCAAGCCGAAAUUAGAAGCUUGGAAUUUUCAGCCCUGCCUCCCAUUCUCUUGAGAAGUGGCGUCAGUGAUCAAUCACGCCUGCGUGAUGAAUCCUCCUUAAAAUCCCAAAAGCACAGGGUUCUGAGAGCUUCCACGUUGGUGGACACGUGGAGGGAGGCGCUGGGAACGUGGUGCAACCAGAGGGGGCAUCGGGGCUCCGCACCCCUUCCCCCAUACCUGUCCCAUGCAUCUCUUCCGUGUGGACAUUCAGCUGUGUCCAGUGUCCUAUCCUUUAAUAAACUGGUAAAUGUGUUUCCCUGAUGCAGCUGCUCUAACAAAUCAAUCGAACCCAAGGAGAAGGUCGUUGGAACAUGCAAUCGGUAGCCGGUUGGUGAGAAGUGUAGGUGAUAAUCUAGACUUUCAACUGGCAUCAGAAGUGCGUGUGCGUGCGUGUGUGUGUGUGUGUGUGUGUGUGUGUAUGUGGGUUGAGGGGCAGUUUUGUGGGAUUGAGCCCUUAACCUGUUGGAUCUGACACCAUGUCUGGGUAGUGUUAGAAUGAAAGUAAAUUGUAAGCCACCAAGCUGGUGUAGCAGACAAUUGCUUGUUGAGGGGACAACACCCGCCCCCACCCUCACCCCACCACAUUUGGUGAUCAGAAAUAAAGUGUUUUAUAUGGGUGGUUAAGGAGGGUCAUGGGGAGGAACGCAGUAGGGAGGAAGAACCGGGUUUUCCCUGCACAGGAAGGUGGAAAACCAAGUUUUCCCUUACAGAAAUGUUCCAAAAGUAGAGGAACCGUGUUAGUUUCCUGGGGUUGCCAGAACUAAUCGCCACAAAUGGAGUGGCUUAACACAACAGUAAUUUCUCUCACACAGUCUGGAGGUCAGGAGUCUGAAAUCAAGAUGUCAGCAGGGCCGUGCUCCCUCUGGAGGCUCCAGAGAGAUUCCUGCCUCACUCUCCCAGCUCCCCCCCCAAAAAUGGUGGCUAGCAACUCCCCGUCCUCCUUGGCUCGUGACUGCACCACUCCAAUCUCUGUCUUUGUCUCCACAAGGCUGUCUUCCCACUUUGUGAGUGUCUGUUUCCAAAGCUCUCUCUCCUUACAAGGAUGCCAGUCAUUGGGUCUAGGGCCUGCUCUACUCCACCAUGACCUCAUCUUUACUCGAUUACAUCUGCAAAGACCCUAAUGCCAAAUAAGGUCACACUCGCAGGUAUCAGCAGCUUGGACUUCAACGUAUCUUUUUGAGGGGGAAGGGAGUACACAGUUCAACUCCAAACAGAACCUUAAUAGGUGUGAAUAACAGAGGAACUAAAGGGGGGAAAUACCACAGUGGAAGGAAGAGAGAAUCUAACUCGCCUCACCCUCCUCCAUCAUGGCAGAAAGCGAGGACACACUGGCUGCAGUAGGGGGUAUAAACUGAUGGGCGAAGGUAAUCACCAGAAGCACCCAAACUGAAAAUAGUUAACCCUGGUUGGCCCCAGGGACAGGCAGAGAGCCCGUUCAGGGGACUGUGAGGAAAUUUGAAUAUGGACUGACGAUUAGGUAACAUUACAACAUUACUGUUAAUUACCAUUUUGUCGGGCUUCAUAAUGGUAAUGGUCUUGAUGUAAGAAAAGGUCUUAUUUUUCAGAGAAGCAAGCUGAAGCCUUGAGUGAGACAGGUUAUGUCUGGACUUGCUUUAAAAUAUAGAUGGGGCGCCUGGGUGGCUCAGAUUCUUGAUUUCGGCUCAGGUCAUGAUCCCAGGGUUGUGGGAUCAAGCCCCACAU